rnacentral:RNase_MRP_RNA from 2 species
UCCUCGCUCGAAGAAUCGCAUUCAAAGCUUACGCACAGGACUCUCAACUCGAGAUCGUCCAUACCAUAUAGCUUUGGGAGAAAGUCCCCGGGCACCCUGCACAACAUACUGUGUCAGGCAAUGCGGAAACGCGCCGCCAUAAAAGCAAUUGAUAGCGGCUGAUGUCUUUCCUUGCCUCCUAUUAUCGACUCGACCCUAGCCGCGUGAGCCGUCCGCACUCCUUUCCGAUAUUCCAUGGUUCCUGCUGGAGUAGGUUUCGCUUGGUUUGCUUCAAGACCACCGUCUCGUUUCGACGGGACGGACCAGGACGAUGAUAUGAGUCCGCGCUUGGGGUACUUCAUUCGAAGCUAUUGGUCCUUCUGGGUUCUCUGGGUACCGGGUGGGAGGAGGCUUCUAGGGGAAACAAUGGAGUAUGGUGAUGGGGUCCAGGCAGGAUACGAUUGCACUUCGCCGUGGCUGGAUAGCUAUGCGAUUGUCUUUUCGACUUUGGGCCACAUGGCUCUUGGUUCGAUGGAUAACUCGAUGGGGCUUAUUCUCGAGGCGAGG